rnacentral:ncRNA from 1 species
UCAAAGAACUUUAAGAGAAGAGUAGUUUGUGGCAUUGUUAGCAGAGAUUCCCGUUUGGUGAGAAGGGAAAGCAGUAAAACAAAUGAAGAUGAGCUCUGGUAAUCUAGUCGGUUCACGCUGGCUAGACGGCUGCGACCGUUAUCUGGCUAGGCUUAUAAUUCCUUAGGGGGUUAUGUGCUGAAGAGGCGGUUGGCUUAAUCGUAACCGUGAAGUAGGGUGGUACCACGAAAGAUACUCGUCCCUUUG